rnacentral:rRNA from 1 species
AGAGUUUGAUCCUGGCUCAGGACGAACGCUGGCGGCGUGCCUAAUACAUGCAAGUAGAACGCUGAAGAGAGGAGCUUGCUCUUCUUGGAUGAGUUGCGAACGGGUGAGUAACGCGUAGGUAACCUGCCUUGUAGCGGGGGAUAACUAUUGGAAACGAUAGCUAAUACCGCAUAACAAUGGAUGACACAUGUCAUUUAUUUGAAAGGGGCAAUUGCUCCACUACAAGAUGGACCUGCGUUGUAUUAGCUAGUAGGUGAGGUAAUGGCUCACCUAGGCGACGAUACAUAGCCGACCUGAGAGGGUGAUCGGCCACACUGGGACUGAGACACGGCCCAGACUCCUACGGGAGGCAGCAGUAGGGAAUCUUCGGCAAUGGGGGCAACCCUGACCGAGCAACGCCGCGUGAGUGAAGAAGGUUUUCGGAUCGUAAAGCUCUGUUGUAAGUCAAGAACGAGUGUGAGAGUGGAAAGUUCACACUGUGACGGUAGCUUACCAGAAAGGGACGGCUAACUACGUGCCAGCAGCCGCGGUAAUACGUAGGUCCCGAGCGUUGUCCGGAUUUAUUGGGCGUAAAGCGAGCGCAGGCGGUUUGAUAAGUCUGAAGUUAAAGGCUGUGGCUCAACCAUAGUUCGCUUUGGAAACUGUCAAACUUGAGUGCAGAAGGGGAGAGUGGAAUUCCAUGUGUAGCGGUGAAAUGCGUAGAUAUAUGGAGGAACACCGGUGGCGAAAGCGGCUCUCUGGUCUGUAACUGACGCUGAGGCUCGAAAGCGUGGGGAGCGAACAGGAUUAGAUACCCUGGUAGUCCACGCCGUAAACGAUGAGUGCUAGGUGUUGGAUCCUUUCCGGGAUUCAGUGCCGCAGCUAACGCAUUAAGCACUCCGCCUGGGGAGUACGACCGCAAGGUUGAAACUCAAAGGAAUUGACGGGGGCCCGCACAAGCGGUGGAGCAUGUGGUUUAAUUCGAAGCAACGCGAAGAACCUUACCAGGUCUUGACAUCCCGAUGCUAUUUCUAGAGAUAGAAAGUUACUUCGGUACAUCGGUGACAGGUGGUGCAUGGUUGUCGUCAGCUCGUGUCGUGAGAUGUUGGGUUAAGUCCCGCAACGAGCGCAACCCCUAUUGUUAGUUGCCAUCAUUCAGUUGGGCACUCUAGCGAGACUGCCGGUAAUAAACCGGAGGAAGGUGGGGAUGACGUCAAAUCAUCAUGCCCCUUAUGACCUGGGCUACACACGUGCUACAAUGGUUGGUACAACGAGUUGCGAGUCGGUGACGGCGAGCUAAUCUCUUAAAGCCAAUCUCAGUUCGGAUUGUAGGCUGCAACUCGCCUACAUGAAGUCGGAAUCGCUAGUAAUCGCGGAUCAGCACGCCGCGGUGAAUACGUUCCCGGGCCUUGUACACACCGCCCGUCACACCACGAGAGUUUGUAACACCCGAAGUCGGUGAGGUAACCUUUUGGAGCCAGCCGCCUAAGGUGGGACAGAUGAUUGGGGUGAAGUCGUAACAAGGUAGCCGUAUCGGAAGGUGCGGCUG